rnacentral:rRNA from 1 species
AUGGCUCCGGACGAUCUCUCCUCCUCUCCCUCCGCCGCCGCCACGAGCUCCACCACGUCGCCGGGCUCCCUCUCCUCCUCCUCGGCGCCUCUUGCCGGCACCACUCCCCCCUUCGUCUUCGGCACCACCCCAGCCCUCUUCAGCGGCUCCUCACCUGCCACGGCAUCCCAGUUUGCCCCUCUCUUCACCACCGCCGACUCUUCUCCCGCGCCACCGCCGGCCUCCUCCCCGACCCAUCCUAUCUUCCACGACCACAUCACGAACCACAUCAAGUUUUUCCUCAACCCCGCGGAUCACAACUACCAUAAGUGGAAAACUUUCUUUCUGAUGGUUCUCGUUCGCUACGGCGUCUCCUACCUUCUCGACCAUCCCCCCUCCCAAUGCUCCGGCGCAAUAUCUUGA